rnacentral:rRNA from 1 species
UACGGGGGGGGCAAGCGUUGUUCGGAAUUACUGGGCGUAAAGGGCUCGUAGGUGGCCAACUAAGUCAUACGUGAAAUCCCUCGGCUUAACCGGGGAACUGCGUCUGAUACUGGAUGGCUUGAGGUUGGGAGAGGGGUGCGGAAUUCCAGGUGUAGCGGUGAAAUGCGUAGAUAUCUGGAGGAACACCGGUGGCGAAGGCGGCAUCCUGGACCAAUUCUGACACUGAGGAGCGAAAGCCAGGGGAGCAAACGGG